rnacentral:rRNA from 1 species
GCUUACAGCCAUGCCAACCUGAACACACCCAAUCUCGUGUGGUCUUGGAAGCCUGGUUAGUACUUGGAUGGGAGUCGCCCUGGGAAUACCAGGUGCUGUAGGGA